CCUUCGAUAGCUCAGUUGGUAGAGCGGUGGACUGUAGCUGGUGUGAUUGUGAUCCAUAGGUCGCUGGUUCAAAUCCGGCUCGAAGGA
rnacentral:tRNA from 1 species